GGCUGGGUAACACCAGCUGGAGGACCGCACCAAUAAGCGUUGAAAAGCUUCUGGAUGAGCUGAGGGUAGGGGUGAAAGGCUAAUCAAACUUGGAGAUAGCUCGUACUCCCCGAAAUGCAUUUAGGUGCAGCCUUGUGGGUUACUGAUGUGAGGUAGAGCGACUGAUAAGAUGCGAGGGCUUCACCGCCUAUCAAGUCUUGACAAACUCCGAAUGCGCAUCAGUUUUACCUCAGGAGUGAGGGCAUGGGUGCUAAGGUCCGUGCCCGAGAGGAGAAGAAUCCGGACCACCUGCUAAGGUCCCGAAAUGACAGCUAAGUUAAACUAACGAAGUCUGACUGCUAAGACAGCUAGGAUGUUGGCUUGGAAGCAGCCAUUCAUUUAAAGAGUGCGUAACAGCUCACUAGUCGAGGAGUCUGGCGUGGAUAAUAAUCGGGUAUUAAGUUGUCUACCGAAGCAGUGGGAUCAUUGAAAUGAUCGGUAGGGGAGCAUUCCAGUCAGCGUCGAAGGCGUACCGCGAGGUAUUCUGGAGCGUCUGGAAAAGCAAAUGUAGGUAUAAGUAACGAUAAAGGGGGCGGGAAACCCCCUCGCCGAAAGACUAAGGUUUCCUGAUCAACGCUAAUCGGAUCAGGGUAAGUCGGGUCCUAAGGCUCAGCCGAAGGGCGAUGCCGAUGGCAGAAACGGUUAAUAUUCCGUUACUACCUCCAGGAGUGAUGUGGAGACGCAGUAGUGACAAUGCCGCCAUCUGACGGAAUAGAUGGUUGAAGGGUGUAGAUGUUGAUCUUGGCAGGCAAAUCCACCAUGAGAAUCGAACCUGAUAGUAUGCCGCGUCCCUCGGGACAAGGCAAUAGUGCAUGUAAUCAUGCUGCCAAGAAAAUCCGCUAAACUAAAUCCUGUAGGUACCCGUACCGCAAACGGACACACGUAGUCGGGUUGAAUAUACUAAGGCGCUUGAGUGAUUCACGGUUAAGGAACUAGGCAAACUGACCCUGUAACUUCGGGAUAAAGGGUCCCUACCCGGUGACGGGAGGGCGCAGAGAAUAGGUCCAGGCAACUGUUUAACAAAAACACAGGGCUGUGCUAAAUCGAAAGAUCCUGUAUACAGCCUGACACCUGCCCGGUGCUGGAAGGUUAAGAGGAGACGUCAUCGUUGAGAGAAGCGUUGAAUUGAAGCCCCAGUAAACGGCGGCCGUAACUAUAACGGUCCUAAGGUAGCGAAAUUCCUUGUCGGGUAAGUUCCGACCUGCACGAAUGGUGUAAUGAUCUGGACGCUGUCUCAACCGUGAGCUCAGUGAAAUUGUAGUAUCGGUGAAGAUGCCGAUUACCCGCGAUGGGACGAAAAGACCCCGUGAACCUUUACUAUAGCUUAACAUUGAAUUUGGGUAAUUGAUGUGUAGGAUAGGCCGGAGACUUUGAAGCAGGCACGCCAGUGUUUGUGGAGUCGCUGUUGAAA
rnacentral:rRNA from 1 species